rnacentral:rRNA from 1 species
AAUCAACGCUGGCGGCGUGCCUCAGACAUGCAAGUCGAACGAUUAAAAGCUCUCUUCGGAGAGUGCAUAGAGUGGCGCACGGGUGAGUAACACGUAAGUAAUCUACCCUCGAGUGGGGAAUAACGUCCGGAAACGGACGCUAAUACCGCAUAAUGCAGCGGCACCGCAAGGUGACAGUUGUUAAAGGAGAAAUUCGCUUGAGGAGGAGCUUGCGGCAGAUUAGCUUGUUGGUAAGGUAACGGCUUACCAAGGCUACGAUCUGUAACCGGUCUAAGAGGACGGUCGGUCACACUGGCACUGAAUAACGGGUCAGACUCCUACGGGAGGCAGCAGUCGGGAAUUUUGGGCAAUGGGCGAAAGCCUGACCCAGCAACGCCGCGUGAAGGAUGAAGU